UCUACGGGAGGCAGCAGUAGGGAAUCUUCCACAAUGGACGCAAGUCUGAUGGAGCAACGCCGCGUGAGUGAAGAAGGUUUUCGGAUCGUAAAGCUCUGUUGUUGGUGAAGAAAGAUAGUGAGAGUAACUGCUCAUUAUUUGCCGGUAAUCAACCAGAAAGUCACGGCUAACUACGUGCCAGCAGCCGCGGUAAU
rnacentral:rRNA from 1 species